rnacentral:rRNA from 1 species
AAAACGACUCUCGGCAACGGAUAUCUAGGCUCUCGCAUCGAUGAAGAACGUAGCGAAAUGCGAUACUUGGUGUGAAUUGCAGAAUCCCGCGAAUCAUCGAGUUUUUGAACUCAAGUUGCGCCCGAAGCCUUUCGGCCAAGGGCACGUCUGCCUGGGUGUCACGU